rnacentral:tRNA from 1 species
CAGGGUGUAGCGCAGUUGGGUAGCGCACCUGUUUUGGGUACAGGGGGUCGCGUGUUCAAGUCACGCCACCCUGA